rnacentral:lncRNA from 1 species
CGGAACUUUCUCUCCCAGUCACUGCUUCGUCCUCCGGGUUCGGCACCGAAAAAAGACCCAACCCGCCUACGACCGCCUAGCGACCGCCUAGCCUCCUAGCCACCGCAUAGCCACCGCCUAGCCUCCUAGCCGCCUAGCGCCCGCCUAGGCCGACUUUUCAGUUCUCGCUCUCCAGCAUCCAAACGCACUCUUUCUCUCCCCUUGUCGUCAAGGUCUGUUGCCUCUGUUCAUUCAUUGUAAAUUUUAGUAUUCAAUUGGUCAUAGCUUUUUCAAUUUUUCAAUUUUCAAUUUUGAUUGAAAGGCUAGAUAAUGUAGGGGUUUUAAUUUGUUUGAACAUGCUCUUGACAAUUGUUGUAUGAGGGCACCUGUCAAUUGUCGUAAAUCAGUAGAAAAUGUGCUCUUGAAUUUUGUUAAGAUUAUAUUGAGAGCCUAAUGUUGGAUUUUGAGAUUGCAGUUUAGGAGAGCCUCUCAAUAUAUAGACAGGGGCACAAAUAACUAUAUAUAAUGACUCUUAAAAGACCUCGACCCUCAAGUUUAGAUUUGAACAAGUGUCAAAGUAUGUACUUUUACUCUUUUGGCUGCUGAUUAUGGCUUUGAGCCCAAUGCUCUGGACCCUGUAUGUUCUUUGUUCUUUGGGCGAUUUCUUUGUGUAAAAUUACUAUUGGAUCCUGUUAAGAAAUGGUAGGGAGAAAAUGAAAAUUAGUCUUGGGGUUACAAUUUUCUCUUCUUGUUUGCACUUUUAGUUCAAAAUUUUGGGGUCUUUAGAUUUCGGGCUUGAACUUGAGUUGCUAGUUGUGGACCAAAUUUGGGUUAUGUGAUUUGAACUGAUUUUGUUAUACGACGUCUCUCCUGUUGCCAUAUCUCAUUGUCAAAAUGAUAAUGUGAACCAGUUUGUGUAGUGGACUGCUUGUAGGAGUGUUCAUGAAACUAGAACUAUAUGAUGCUCAAUGGAAUAGUGACAAAUUUUCCGAGUUAGAAUUUAGAAAUAGGUGCAGACAUGAAAGGAGUUUGUUAUUGCAAAGUAACUUGCCUGCUAGAGGUGCUGUUGAUUGUCUUUUUUAAAAAUUUGUUUCUGUCUGUAAGGAUAGCAACUUGGCCUUUGAAGCAGAUUAUGGCUAAGAUUAGUGCUGAGGUAUUAUUAGGUAGUUCAAGACUAGAUUGUUUAACGUAAAGCAUGUUUUGUCUCACCAUCUAUAUUAUAAGGCAGGAUGCCUUUAGCUGAGCUGAGAUUCUUCUCUGCGUUCAUGUUCCUUUUUCCUCUGUCUUAGAAAACUUUCAAUUUCUUCAUUGGUAAUUUGCGAUUGUCAUAGGUUGUUUUGAUAGAUAUCGGUUUUGUUGAAUAAUUUCUAUACUUGGUGUACGUUAAGUGUUUGGAAGGCUAAUGGCACAAAGUUGUGAUGGCAGAUUAAGAGGGAGUCUGCUGAAGGUUGUGUGAAAGACUUCGUCUUUGGAUCAAAAAGGCAACCUGAAAGAGAAAUUGAGAAGCUGGCCCUUAACAGUGCAAAGGAAUAUCAUUAGUCUUUUUUUUUGGAAAAAAAUAAAAUGAACGUCCUUAGUUAAAUAGGCAGUUAACAAUGUAUUGAGAAUGAUUCUCCUGUUCUUGUUAGUUUUAUGUGGUGAUAUUUCAUGUUUUGUUUCAUUUCAUGUAUGAUCUUCACCUUGCAGCUGAGAUAAAACCAAAUUCAGUAUGGAUAUGAUUCUUAGGCAUUUGAGCAGUG